rnacentral:rRNA from 1 species
UCAACAAAGGGAUGCAAAGCCGCGAGGCAGAGCGAACCCCAAAAAGCCGUCCCAGUUCGGAUCGCAGGCUGCAACCCGCCUGCGUGAAGUCGGAAUCGCUAGUAAUCGCGGAUCAGCAUGCCGCGGUGAAUACGUUCCCGGGCCUUGUACACACCGCCCGUCACACCAUGAGAGUCGGGAACACCCGAAGUCCGUAGCCUAACCGCAAGGAGGGCGCGGCCGAAGGUGGGUUCGAUAAUUGGGGUGAAGUCGUAACAAGGUACC